rnacentral:lncRNA from 1 species
UUUCCUUCAGUUCUGCAAAUCAGAAGUCUGAUAUAGGACUGAAAUCUAAAUGUGGUCAGGGCCCACUGUUUCUCGAAGCCCCAGGGAGAGUCAUUUCCUGGUCUUUCCCAGUCUUGAGAGGUCGCCCACUUUUGUUUUUGGUCUGAGGUCCUUCUGCCUUCAGAGCCAGGGACAGGCUACAUAUGUCCCUCGUGCCACCAGUCUCCACUGGUUCGGAUCCCACUGUGACUGCAGUGAAUCUGCCUGGAGAUUCAGCAGCAGCCUCGAUUUGGGCCGUUAACUCCUGUCACCCAGUAGUCAUUGGCCAUAGGGACCAGAGUAUCCCGAGGGGUCUAUCCUGGAAAACAGGAACACGGUUUGCCAGCAAGGCACCUGCUACACCACAGACCCUGCUCCCGUCCAGCCAUGAAAGCCCUGCUCAGCCCUGACCCAGGCUUGCUUCCUCAUGGUUCGAGGCUGGGAUCUGAAGUCUCUCCUCUGUCCCCUUUCCCAGGUACUUGCUUUACCGAGCUGGCCAGGGCAAGCAAUGCACACAGCCUUUGUAUGCUUGUAGAUGUUAACUUGUCGAUGACAUUAAUAUUGUGAAUUAUUUUUAUAGUGUUGAUUUUGUAUGCAUGUACUCAGGACAGAAUCCAGAUAUAUAUAUAUAUAGCUUGAUAUAAAACAUUUCAUAAGUGGC